rnacentral:snoRNA from 1 species
CUGUGAGCUAUGAUGCCAUGGCAUUCUACCCUGGGCAACAGAGUGAGAUUAUGUUUCAAAAAAGAAAAAAAAAAGGUACAAUGGCUACAAAGAGCAGCCUCCUUGGUAGUGUAUGCAGUCUGUUGCUUAUAUAGGUUGCUCUAAGGGACCUUGAAGGUAUUC